rnacentral:rRNA from 1 species
GAUGAACGCUGGCGGCGUGCUUAACACAUGCAAGUCGAACGAUGAAGCCCAGCUUGCUGGGUGGAUUAGUGGCGAACGGGUGAGUAACACGUGAGUAACCUGCCCUUAACUCUGGGAUAAGCCUGGGAAACUGGGCCUAAUACCGGAUAGGAGCGUCCACCGCAUGGUGGGUGUUGGAAAGAUUUAUCGGUUUUGGAUGGACUCGCGGCCUAUCAGCUUGUUGGUGAGGGAAUGGCUCACCAAGGCGACGACGGGUAGCCGGCCUGAGAGGGGGACCGGCCACACUGGGACUGGGACACGGCCCAGACUCCUCCGGGCGGCAGCGGUGGGGAAUCUUGCACAAUGGGCGCAGGCCUGGUGCAGCGACGCCGCGUGGGGGAUGACGGCCUUCGGGUUGUAAACCUCUUUCAGUAGGGAAGAAGCGAAAGUGACGGUACCUGCAGAAGAGACACCGGCUAACUACGU